rnacentral:rRNA from 1 species
UACGUAGGCAGCGAGCGUUGUUCGGAGUUACUGGGCGUAAAGGGUGUGUAGGCGGUUUUCUAAGUUUGGUGUGAAAUCUCCCGGCUCAACCGGGAGGGUGCGCCGAAAACUGGGAGACUAGAGUGCGGGAUGGGAGAGUAGAAUUCCUGGUGUAGCGGUGAAAUGCGUAGAUAUCAGGAGGAAUACCGGUGGUGUAGACGGCUCUCGGGACCGCCACUGACGCUGAGACACGAAAGCGUGGGGAGCAAACAGG